GAUGAACGCUGGCGGCGCGCCUAACACAUGCAAGUCGAACGAGCGAGAGAGAGCUUGCUUUCUCGAGCGAGUGGCGAACGGGUGAGUAACGCGUGAGGAACCUGCCUCAAAGAGGGGGACAACAGUUGGAAACGACUGCUAAUACCGCAUAAGCCCACGGCUCGGCAUCGAGCAGAGGGAAAAGGAGCAAUCCGCUUUGAGAUGGCCUCGCGUCCGAUUAGCUAGUUGGUGAGGUAAUGGCCCACCAAGGCGACGAUCGGUAGCCGGACUGAGAGGUUGAACGGCCACAUUGGGACUGAGACACGGCCCAGACUCCUACGGGAGGCAGCAGUGGGGAAUAUUGCACAAUGGGGGAAACCCUGAUGCAGCGACGCCGCGUGGAGGAAGAAGGUCUUCGGAUUGUAAACUCCUGUUGUUGGGGAAGAUAAUGACGGUACCUGACUAAGAAGCACCGGCUAAAUACGUG
rnacentral:rRNA from 1 species